rnacentral:rRNA from 1 species
GGAUUGUAGUCUGCAACCCGACUACAUGAAGCUGGAAUCGCUAGUAAUCGCGGAUCAGAAUGCCGCGGUGAAUACGUUCCCGGGUCUUGUACACACCGCCCGUCACACCAUGGGAGUCGGAAAUGCCCGAAGUCAGUGACCCAACCGUAAGGAGGGAGCUGCCGAAGGUGGAGCCGGUAACUGGGGUGAAGUCGUAACAAGGUAUC